UCACCAUUCUGUCGUCCACUCCUAAAGUGAGGUGAGUAAAUGGAAAACAGUGUGUGCGAGGAAGGCAGCAAGGGCGCAACAGGGUAACGGAUAACAGUGACCCCAGGCGCACACCCACUCCUACACAUCUUUCACCCAUCGAUACCCAUCUCGUCGAGUGUAAACAGCACAGAGAUUGCAAUAAAAACGUUGCACGCACAUCUUGCGUUUAUUUAACGUCUGCAGCGCGCCGAGUUUCUUGACUAGGGAGGGGGAUGAAGAGGAGCUUUGAUUUUUUUGUGUGUCUGGAAGGAACUGCAACUAUAUUUUUCAUAGUCUAUAUAGCCUAUAUAGCUACUAUGAUAUCUGGCAGCAUUGCGCCCUUCUAGCAGCCAUGUUCUGGCUCUCCCAAUGCGUCUGCAAAUAUAUAGAUGAGAGAUGGAAAAUGAGUCUUGCGAGAGCCUCUUUAGUUAAUUAAGUAGAUAGAAUAGAUUUGAUAAACGUGUUUUGUAUGCAUUAAGUGAUUUUAAUUUGUAUAUAAUAUGUUUCACUUUGACUAAUAAUAAUAAUUGCAAGCAAAGAAAUGCAGAAAUCAUA